AUUGAACGCUGGCGGCAUGCCUUACACAUGAAGUCGAACGGCAGCACGGGAGCAAUCCUGGUGGCGAGUGGCGAACGGGUGAGUAAUGUAUCGGAACGUGCCCAGUCGUGGGGGAUAACGUAGCGAAAGCUACGCUAAUAACGCAUACGAUCUAUGGAUGAAAGCGGGGGAUCGCAAGACCUCGCGCGAUUGGAGCGGCCGAUAUCAGAUUAGGUAGUUGGUGGGGUAAAGGCCCACCAAGCCUGCGAUCUGUAGCUGGCCUGAGAUGACGAACAGGCACACUGGAACUAAGACACACUCCAGACUCCGACGGGAGGCAGCAGUGGCGAAUGUUGGACAAUGGGCGCAAGCCUGAUUCAGCAAUACCGCGUGCAGGAUAAAGGCCUUCGGGAUCUAAACUGCUUUUGUUCGGAACGAAACGGCUUUUUCUAAUACAGAGAUCUAAUGACGGUACCGUAAGAAUAAGCACCGGCUAACUACGUGCCUGCCGCCGCCGUAA
rnacentral:rRNA from 1 species